rnacentral:rRNA from 1 species
ACUAGGGAUCUGGUAACCUCAAUUAUGAUUUGUUGCUCGGCACCUUACGAGUAAUCAAAGUCUUUGGGUUCUGGGGGGAGUAUGGUCGCAAGUCUGAAACUUAAAGGAAUUGACGGAAGGGCACCACCAGGUGUGGAGCCUNCGGCUUAAUUUGACUCUACACGGGGAAACUCACCAGGUCCAGACAUAACUAGGAUUGACAGAUUGAUAGCUCUUUCAUGAUUUUAUGG